CCUACGGGUGGCUGCAGUAGGGAAUAUUGCUCAAUGGGGGAAACCCUGACGCAGCAACGCCGCGUGGAGGAUGAAGGUUUUCGGAUUGUAAACUCCUGUUAUUAGAGAAGAUAAUGAAGUUAGCUAACGAAUAAGCACCUGCCAACACCGGGCCAGCAGCCGCGGUAAUACGGAGGGUGCAAGCGUUACGCGGAAUCACUGGGCGUAAAGAGCGCGUAGGCGGGAUAGCAAGUCAGAUGUGAAAUCCUAUGGCUUAACCAUAGAACUGCAUUUGAAACUGGUAUUCUGGAGUAUGGGAGAGGUAGGUGGAAUUCUAGGUGUAGGGGUAAAAUCCGUAGAGAUCAAGAGGAAUACUCAUUGCGAAGGCGACCUGCUAGAACAUAACUGACGCUGAUGCGCGAAAGCGUGGGGAGCAAACAGGAUUAGAUACCCCUGUAGUC
rnacentral:rRNA from 1 species